GAUUUCUGGUUUGGCGCACUUGGCCCGUCUCGGUUUACGGGAUUGUGUGCCGGUGUGCGCCUUCCAUCCUUCGAGAGAACACUUCUGCCCUUUACUGGGUUUGGAGUGCUAUCUCGAUCUUUUACUUUGAAAAAAUUAGAGUGUUUCAAGCAGGCUUUAUGCUAUGAAUACAUUAGCAUGGAAUAAUAAUUUAGGACUUCGGUUCUAUUUUGUUGGUUUCUAGGACUGAAGUAAUGAUUGAUAGGGAUAGUUGGGGGUGCUAGUAUUCAGCGGCCAGAGGUGAAAUUCUCGGAUUCGCUGAAGACUAACUUAUGCGAAAGCAUU
rnacentral:rRNA from 1 species